GUUCUUAUGAUCAAAGUUUCAGUCAGGUAACCUUUAAAAAAUUUAUUUUUAAUUAGUUCAUUUUUUAAUUAGUUUAUUUUUGGUACUGGGAAUUGAACUCAGAGCCUUGCACUCUGGCUCAGCUUUCUUGGUAUGGACAGUGCUGUACUAUCUGAGCUACUACCAAUCUGAUAUUCUGUUAGUUAAUUGGAGAUGGAGUCUCUCAGACUUCUCUGCUCUGGCUGGCUUUAAAACCUGAUCUUCUA